CAGCCGCCGCGGGAAUACGAAGGGGGCUAGCGUUGCUCGGAAUGACUGGGCGUAAAGGGCGCGUAGGCGGUUCGUACAGUCAGAUGUGAAAUUCCUGGGCUUAACCUGGGGGCUGCAUUUGAUACGUGCGGGCUUGAGUGGGGAAGAGGGUCGUGGAAUUCCCAGUGUAGAGGUGAAAUUCGUAGAUAUUGGGAAGAACACCGGUGGCGAAGGCGGCGACCUGGUCCUUGACUGACGCUGAGGCGCGAAAGCGUGGGGAGCAAACAGGAUUAGAUACCCGAGUAGUCCCUGUCUCUUAUAC
rnacentral:rRNA from 1 species